rnacentral:rRNA from 1 species
GUGGGGAAUAUUGGACAAUGGGCGCAAGCCUGAUCCAGCCAUGCCGCGUGAGUGAUGAAGGCCUUAGGGUUGUAAAGCUCUUUCAGUGGGGACGAUAAUGACGGUACCCACAGAAGAAGCUCCGGCUAACUUCGUGCCAGCAGCCGCGGUAAUACGAAGGGGGCUAGCGUUGUUCGGAUUUACUGGGCGUAAAGCGCACGUAGGCGGAUCGUUAAGUCGGGGGUGAAAUCCUGGAGCUCAACUCCAGAACUGCCUUCGAUACUGGCGAUCUUGAGUCCGGAAGAGGUGAGAGGAACUCCUAGUGUAGAGGUGGAAUUCGUAGAUAUUAGGAAGAACACCAGUGGCGAAGGCGGCUCACUGGUCCGGUACUGACGCUGAGGUGCGAAAGCGUGGGGAGCAAACAGGAUUAGAAACCCCAGUAGUCC